rnacentral:tRNA from 1 species
GGAGUUGUGGCUCAGUGGUAGAGCACUCACCUAGUUCAUGUGAGGCCCUGGGUUCCAUCCUCAGCACCA